CACAAAUACAAGGGUUUCUGUUCUCUCUCUGCCUGGAGAUUCACAUGUAUAGAAAAGCUGCUGUGAACUGUAGGUAAAGACUUGCACAAAAACUGACCCCCAUUGAUGGGAUGACAAUACACCCAUUGAACUUUGUGGGAGAUCAGAAACUAGCUUCAGCCUCAGGUUGGGAAAAAAUUUCCCCUGGUAAAACACAAUCCAAGUCAUCCAAGGAGAGAAACACUCUGAUUAAAAUGGUUUAAAAAUGUUGCUACUGGGGGUAUAAAAUUCUAGCAGUUCCAUGGCUCACAUAGAACUUUUCCUCUUGAGAAAAAUGGAAAAUACUGUGCCAAUGGGUCACCAGACAUUUUCCAGUUGUUUAUAUUGUUCUCACAAAGCUGUUUGUCAUGGACCUAACUUUUUUUUGCAGAUGUUUUGUUUUAAUACAGCUUGUUUUAAUUAGGGAAACUUCUCAUUUCUUCACAGUAUCUGUCUGGGAGCUUCCCCUGCUCAGCACCAAAUGCAUUAAGAGAGAGUCUGGGCUGUGUUUCUGGGUGCCCAGGCAGGCAGGUCCGACAGAAGCAGUUGAUUUUAAAGCUGUUUGAAAGCAACUUUUCUUUUGAGCAUACCCAGAGGAGGAGCUGAAGGAGUGGCAGUUUCCGUGUUGUUUCUGCUGCUCCCAUGCAGAAGUCCAGAGAAUCUGCAGAACCAAGAAAAGCCAAAACCAAAAUGAGUGAACAGGUGUGGAGAAAUCCCCGUUGUGGGAACUGAUGUUUGCCACUCACCUCUUCAUCAUCCCACAGGAGUGAGUGGGGCUGCUGCUGUGCCUGUUGGGCUCUCUGCUGUAGUAGUUCUCAUACCCUAUGGCAUCUGCAAGAGGCCAAUAAAAAUGAGAGGUUCAAACAGGAAAUACUGUGAGAAAACAUUGUUUUCUCCCUGCCAGAAUGUGACCUGGGCCUGCUGGAGCAAACUGCAGGGCAGUGCCUGUCUGCCCUCACCUGGAAUGUGGCUGGAGCAGCUCAGGGGCUUGACAAAAGCCAUUCCAGUGCCUGUAAACAGCCCUGGCCCUGGUGGGAAGGGGCCCUUGGCCUGAGCUGAGGCCUGAGGCCCCAUUCGAAGAGCUGUGACUGCCCUAAUGAGGAAGGCAGUUUCUUAUAUUGCCUCAAAGCUCAGGAUUUAAGGGGACAGAGUAUGGUCAUUGUGAGCUCUAAACUGUGUUCAUGGUAGAAUUUGCUGCAGUGCAUUUUGUUUCUAUUUUCCUCAGUGUAUCCUGUCAGGAGUUUUUGUCAGGGUUGGGGAGGUUUCCUGCAGCAAUAAGGAGCAGUUUCCUGAUGUGUGCUUGUGUGUUUCCCCACCUUUCAUAUCUCCCCCAUCUGUCUCCUGAGAGCUUAUUUGCUGUUUACCCAGAGAUAUUUGGGUUUUGUUCUCUCAAACACAUUUAGGUUGCAUUUCCUUCACUCUCCCCUAUGGUGUCAUUAAGGGUGAAAUGAAGAAAUUUCCAAGUGUAACUUUACAGAUGAAAUAGUUACAGAUGGAUAGUUCCAGAUCCUUACAGCUGAUGGCCACACACCCUUUCUGUCCGUUCAGUGUGAGGGCCAAAUAAACAGGAACAAAGCCCAAGUGUUUUAUCUCAGCCCUGAUACCAGCAAGUAUCUUCUAAAAAACAUUGGACUUGGGCUAAAGGUUGCCAUUCUCACACUGUGUCAGCCAAGACAGUAAGCAGAGCAGGCACAUAGAGCUAGAGAGAGUGAAGAAUCCCUCCAAAUAAGACUCACAAUAAUUGAGGAGUUUUCUGACCAGUUUAAAGGUCUCCUGUUGCCCUUCUGCAUUGUCACCUUGGUGCAGUUUCCAGUUUACAGGGCAUUGUGAGAUUGGGUAGAAAAGGAGCAAGACCAACAAGAAGGUUUGGUCAGGAUGCAAGUCUUCUGCCACACAACACAAAAUUACACGUGGGUUUCCUCCUGCAUUUUGCAAAUAACAACACAGAUCAACAGCUCACUGUGUGCUACACUGCAAACUCAUUACCAGAGCUGUGGAGAUACUAGGAUAUUACUUCCAUAACACAUCAUUUUCUAGAAGGUGGCAAAAAUAAAAACAACAAAAAAGCAAGUCAGGUUUUUCUUUGCCUUUCAUAAAGCUCUCAAGGGUUUUUUCCACCUAGUUCUUAUUUGAAAUGACUCUGACAUAGCCAAGAGCUUUUUGUAGAAAUUUCCUAGGAGACUGGAGAAUGACAAAUCUCCUCUUUUUUUUGGGAGGAAAACCAAAAAAUAAAAAAACCUAGCUAAGAAUUACACAUUUCUUAGUACACAGAAGUUGUUUAACACUGUUGCAAGGCACAGUUCUCCUUUCUGCCGCUGAAAAUGUCAUUUUUCCUGGGUAAAUUAUCCUGUAUCAGUGAAUUUAAAUCCCCUAUAUGAAGAAGAAUAAACUAUAACAGCAAAAUAGCAUCCAGUGCAUCAGUACCAUACAUUAGUUUUAAAAAAUUCCCCAAAUCCCAAUUUUUAACCAUCGUAAGAAUAAUGGCAAAAAGGCUGAGUGAAAAGCAGGCUUCAGAUAGCUCAGUGCUGAGUUAGUGGCAGCACCCAGCUCUACUGAGGAAGGUUCAGGGGUAAUUCCUGCCAGCUUUGAGCUCUGCAGUAAAAUCAAAGGGAUCAAACUUGUUCUUGUACAAACUAAUUAUUCCCAGGGAUCAGGCCUUCACACCACUGAGUUUGUACCUGUACAACUCCUAGCAUGGAAGGGUUUUAUGUAACUAUCCUGUGUUGCCUGUUGAAGUAAUCAGGAGUGGUUUGUGUAUGGCCACAUGACACAUUAGACAGCUCCUUUCCUGUGGGGUGUUUGGAGAACUCCUACCCUGGAGCAGCAGGUUUUCAUUUUACUGCUGCUCUUGCCUCAUGCUGGGUCAAUCUCCAUUUCAGCCCAGAGGUUUUGAGCAGUGAAGUCAAGGAAAAGGCAGCUUUGGCUUGAAUGGGCAGAGCCUGUGAACCUUACAGCAGUUCUGUGUGCUGGGGCAAAGCCAAUUUCAUUCAGAAUUUCCCCAGCCAAAGUCUUGGCUUAUGCAAACAACUUCUUGAGAGCGAAAAAUUUGUUAUUCCCCAUUGGGCAUACGGAACAGAAUAGAAAACUCUGUCUUCUCUGUGCUGCAAAUGAAGAGGCAGCACCUCUGUCAAGGGCACACUGGGGUGUAGUUACUUGGUACAUUGGCUGUGUCUUGCCACCAGUGCAGGAAGUUGCCAUUUCUCCAUUUCUGCAAGGCAAUUUGCCACCGCCUUAGCGGUGUCAGUUCAGCUGUACUGUGAAAUGAGCCUGGCAGCAAAGCCAAAAUAAGUUUUUUCUUCUUUAGAGGGUUAUUUUUAAGCUGGAUCCUUCUGCUUACCCACUUAGAACACCACACAGGCAGCAUCGGCAGCACAAUGUGGGGGAAGUGAGCCAUGGAGGUGGGAAUGAAAAGUUGGAGCAGAAACUGCUCCAGCUGGUUUCACCUCCCAAGUACGUGUACUGCAGAAACCAUCCAACAUGAUCAGUAGGAAUAAUUACCUGGAGGUUGUGUUCCUGUCAUUUUUGUCUUAAUGAAGUAGUCUAUAUCUGACUCUACAACACAGUUCUCCAAGCUGACCCGAACCUCUUCAUACAGCUACAAAACAGAAUUCAAGAGUUUAACUUCUAUCAUUUCACAUUGAAGUAACAAAUACCGCUGGUAAUUACAAUUACUUGUAGUAAUUGUCCCCUUAAGAAACACUUUACACUUGGUACAUGUCUGACCUGGCUGAUCUUUAGCCUGUCCCCUGUACCAGUAUUCUUGUAAACACACCUGUUUGUUUGUGCUCUGGAUAGUCUUUGAAAAGGACUUUUCAAUGCAAUAAAGAAAUUAAGAGCAGGAAACAACCAUUCAAAGUCAAAUCUAGUGUAUUCUUUACGUCUUCCAGUUUUGAGGCCAUGACUGGAUGCCUUUUUUGAAAUCAUGUCAGAGCCCAGAUAUACUCAGCUGAGUGUUUUGGUAGCAGGAAGCAUUCCCCAGCAAACCAAGGAGGACACAUGUGAGUGCCACCAAGCAUGACACAGACUGUCUGCAUCCAGAAAUGCCAUCUGCUUUAUAUCUAGAGAGAACAGGAGUGAGAUAUUCCCCCGGAGCCAGCGCUACAGAGAAGGGCAAGGCAGG